rnacentral:rRNA from 1 species
UAGCGGCGGACGGGUGAGUAACGCGUAGGAAUCUGCCGUACAGAGGGGAACAACAGAUGGAAACGUCUGCUAAUACCGCAUGAAGCCUGAGGGUGAAAGGUCGCGCAACGUCGCUGUAUGAUGAGCCUGCGUUGGAUUAGCUGGUUGGUGAGGUAAAGGCUCACCAAGGCGAUGAUCCAUAGCUGUUCUGAGAGGAAGAUCAGCCACACUGGGACUGAGACACGGCCCAGACUCCUACGGGAGGCAGCAGUGGGGAAUAUUGGACAAUGGGGGCAACCUGAUCCAGCAAUACCACGUGUGUGAAGAAGGCCUUAGGGUUGUAAAGCACUUUAGUUCGUGAGGAAGGCUAUCAGGUUAAGAGCUGGAUAGUUUGACGUUAGCGAAAGAAUAAGCACCGGCAAACUCCGUGCCAGCAGCCGCGUAUACGGAGGGUGCGAGCGUUAAUCGGAAUGACUGGGCGUAAAGGGUUCGUAGGUGGUCAGAUAAGUCAGAUGUGAAAUACCUGGGCUCAACCUGGGAGGGUCAUUUGAAACUGUUUGACUAGAGUUUACUAGAGGAUUGGGGAAUUUCCGGUGUAGCGGUGAAAUGCGUAGAGAUCGGAAGGAACAUCAAUGGCGAAGGCAACAAUCUGGGGUUGAACUGACACUGAGGGACGAAAGCGUGGGGAUCAAACAGGAUUAGAUACCCUGGUAGUCCACGCUGUAAACGAUGAGUACUAGCUGUUGGUCCUGGUGUAAAAGGAUUAGUGGCGCAGCAAACGCGAUAAGUACUCCGCCUGGGGACUACGGCCGCAAGGUUAAAACUCAAAGGAAUUGACGGGGACCCCACAAGCGGUGGAGCAUGUGGUUUAAUUCGAUGCAACGCGAAGAACCUUACCUGCCCUUGACAUCCAUAGAAGACGAGAGAGAUUUUGUUGUGCUUCGGGAACUAUGAGACAGGUGCUGCAUGGCUGUCGUCAGCUCGUGUUGUGAAAUGUUGGGUUAAGUCCCGCAACGAGCGCAACCCUUAUUUUUAGUUGCCAUCAUUAAGUUGGGCACUCUAGAGAGACUGCCGCUGAUAAGGCGGAGGAAGGUGGGGACGACGUCAAGUCAUCAUGCUUACGGGCAGGGCUACACACGUGCUACAAUGGGCAUUACAGAGGGAGGCGAAGGUGCGAGCUGAAGCGAAACUCAGAAAGGUGUUCGUAGUCCGGAUUGCGCUCUGCAACUCGAGCGCAUGAAGUCGGAAUCGCUAGUAAUCGCGGAUCAGCAUGCCCGCGGUGAAUACGUUCCCGGGUCUUGUACACACCGCCCGUCACACCAUGGGAGCGGGUUGCAAAAGAAGUAGAUAGUCUAACCGUAAGGGGGACGUUUACCACUUUGUGAUUGAUGACUGGGGUG